GAGCCCCACGUUCCUUGUAACCUCUUGCGGUUACGUGAUUUUAAAAAAAUGGAAAGCAGAGAACUUCGUAGCCUUUCUCUCUCUCUCUCUCUCUCUUGGGGGUGUGUGGCAAGGACGAGAGAAUCAUCUUUGUCGAAGGCUCAUCUUGGAGUAUUUGUGGGUUUUGAAGAGUGAUAAGGAGAGUAUCUAGUUUUAUCCUUGAAAAGUAAAUAGGGAUAAAUUGUGUUCGGGUGCUGGAGUUUGGAAAAUUAGAGAAGAGAAGGAACAAGAAUGACUUGUGUCAUUUAUUUUAUGUAUUUAAUUAGUGAAUAAUUUCAUGAUUUUAACAAUAGAGUAGUCCCUGAUUUUUUGUGCUUGUUUAUUAAGGAAAAGGUUGAAAGUGGGAUUUCAUGGAGAGUUAGGUGGAAUGAAUUUUUGUUGGGGAUUAUGUAUGGGUGUUAACUUGCUGAUUGUUUAUGUUGUGGACUAAUGAUUUGAUGGGAAUUGUAUU